rnacentral:rRNA from 1 species
GGUAGCUGCAUGAGUUCGGGCUCUUCUUGCGCAGCCUAGGUGGGAGGCUAUGACGGUAGACUUUUGGGUUUACUAGAGCCAACGGUGAGAGACCACUCUGGGAGAGCUAGAAUUCUAAUGGCGUUCUUUGAAGCAGGACGCUUGACAGUUUCAGGUGGGCAGUUUGACGGGGGCGGUCACCUCCUAAAAGGUAACGAAGGUGUGCAAAGGUUCCCUCAGGCUGGACGGAAAUCAGCCGUAAAGUGUAAAGGCAAAAGGGAGCUUGACUGCAAAACCUACAAGUCAAGCAGGGGCGAAAGCCGGCCUUAGUGAUCCGACGGUUCCGUGUGGAAGGGCCGUCGCUAAACGGAUAAAAGUUACUCUAGGGAUAACAGGCUGAUGACCUGCUA